UCUGAAUAUAGGUAUUGGAUCUAGUAGUUGAUGCCUUAACCCAUGAUGAGACCAUUGUACGUGCUGCAGCUUGUGUUUACUUAAGAAGUGUCUCUCGCUCAAUCAAGGCCUGUAAAUGAGAUAACAUUUGGUACUUGAAGUCUUUUAUGCUAUAUAAAGCUCAAGUCUCAUAAAAAUUUAUUCAGACUUUGAGUGUAGGUCAUUUUUUUACUGAAAAGACUGUCAUUUCUCUAUUUCAAUUUUCAACUUCUCUCUAAUCAUUCUACUAAUGUCCAGGUAUCCUGUUGUAUUUAUAAUGUUUGUUUUUGUAUCUAGGUUAAAUUGAAUGUUCAUCUAUUGCUCAUUAAUCAAUAUGUGACAACGUAUGCUGUUCUGAUGAUAAUUCAGGUAUUAUUGGUCUGCAACUUGUUGUAUCAGAGAACCAAGCAUAAUCUGUUUUGUAAUCUAAGUUGGUCAAUGGAUUUUUAUAGUUUGAAUCAGUAUAGCAUGCUAUGUUCUCAAAUCCUGCAGGGAAAAAACUGCAUAUCAUACAAUAUUAUCCAAACUUAAUCUUUCCCCUUAAGACUAGCUAUUUAAGCAAAAUCGGACUAAAACUAUCAAGUGAUAUUGUUAAAAUUUUAAAGAUGGUAAAAUAUGCAACUAUUAAAGAAGAUUUUAUUUUCCACAUUAGUAAUAAUGACCAAAGUAUAAUAUUUAUUGACCUUCAAAUACAGAAGCUGAUCUGAUAAAUAUGCACAAACAUAAAAUAUACGGCACAACCUAUCUUAAUAAUACCAAAUUAUCUUAUUUCUUCAUCAUUAUAGGUUACCCCAUGGGGUUGCUAAACAUGAAGCCAUGCCACUAUACAAAUCUGUUGAAUUAUUAUUAUUAUUAUUAUAUGCUUGUAUUUGGCUCUUGAACUUUCUAAAAUAAAUAUGUAUGCAGGUGUUCAUGAUUCGUUUUGGACACAUGCAUGUGAUGUAGAGAAAAUGAGUCAAAUUCUGAGAGAAAAAAUUGUGGAGCUUUAUGACAUGCCAAUACUUGAAAAUUUGCUAGAAGACUUCCAGACAUCAUACCCAGGAUUAGUUUUUCCUCCACUGCCAGAGGGAGGUGAUUUUGACUUACAAAAAGGUUCUCAAUUCUCCAUACUUUUUCACUGAGCGAUUCUCCAUACUUCUUCAACUGAGCUUCUCUACACAGGCAACUACAAAAAGAUUUAGUUGAAAGCAUUUCUCCAUCUUAUCUAAUGCGAAAUCAUUUAGAGGCCGGAGCUUAACUUAUCCUGUAGCGGAAGAAUUGAUUUUGAUAUUCAACCUAAGAAGAUGCUUCGGGGGGAAGAGAGGCAGGAAGGAAAAAAAGGUUCUGAAUGUUAUUUGUUUUGGGAAGUUUCUUGCUGCUAGAAUUCUUAGACUUGGUGAUCCAGUUAACACAAGACAAUUUUAGGGGAUUUUUAAUUAUCUCUCUCUCUCUCAUGUAUUAUAUAAUGUAUGAAUAGAAAUGAAUAGAUGCAUACUAGAUCGAAAGAAAGGUCAUUAGGGUAGAAACGUGCAGUUACUUGUGAUCUGUACAUAGACUUAUUCAUUUUCAUUGUGAAAUAAAUUGAGAAAUGCUUGAGAAAGAACAAUGAGGGGUUCAUGGCUGUUACCUGAGCUUUAAAUUGGAAGAGAAUAUCCAGUUAAUUUU